CCCUACGGGGCGCAGCAGGCGCGAAAACUUUACAAUGCUGGCAACAGCGAUAAGGGGACCUCGAGUGCCAGGAUACAAUCUUGGCUGUCGUGAUGCCUAAAAAGCAUUGCAUAGCAAGGGCCGGGCAAGACCGGUGCCAGCCGCCGCGGUAACACCGGCGGCUCGAGUGGUAACCGCUAUUAUUUGGUCUAAAGGGUCUGUAGCCGGCCGGAUAAGUCUUUUGGGAAAUCCAGCUGCUUAACAGUUGGGCUUUCAGAAGAUACUGUUCGGCUCGAGGCCGGGAGAGGUGAGAGGUACUUCAGGGGUAGGGGUGAAAUCCUGUAAUCCA
rnacentral:rRNA from 1 species